AGAACGAACGCUGGCGGCAGGCUUAACACAUGCAAGUCGAACGCUCGUAGCAAUACGGGAGUGGCAGACGGGUGAGUAACGCGUGGGAACAUACCCUCCGGUUCGGAAUAGCUCAGGGAAACUUGGAUUAAUACCGGAUACGGCUGAGGGGCGAAAGAUUUAUCGCCGGAGGACUGGCCCGCGUUCGAUUAGCUUGUUGGUGAGGUAACGGCUCACCAAGGCGAUGAUCGAUAGCUGGUCUGAGAGGAUGAUCAGCCACAUUGGGACUGAGACACGGCCCAAACUCCUACGGGAGGCAGCAGUGGGAAUAUUGGACAAUGGGCGCAAGCCUGAUCCAGCCAUGCCGCGUGAGUGAUGACGGCCUUAGGGUUGUAAAGCUCUUUCGCUCGGGACGAUAAUGACGGUACCGAGAUAAGAAGCCCCGGCUAACUUCGUGCCAGCAGCCGC
rnacentral:rRNA from 1 species